rnacentral:rRNA from 1 species
CUAAAGCGCCCGUAGCCGGCCCAGCAAGCCCUUACUGAAAUCCUUGGGCUUAACCCGAGGAUAGGUAAGGGGACUGCUGGGCUAGGGGGCGGGAGAGGCCGAGGGUACUCCCGGGGUAGGGGCGAAAUCCUAUAAUCCCGGGAAGACCACCAGUGGCGAAGGCGCUCGGCUGGAACGCGCCCGACGGUGAGGGGCGAAAGCCGGGGGAGCGAACCGGAUUAGAUACCCGGGUAGUCCCGGCUGUAAACGAUGCGGGCUANGUGUUGGGUGGGCUUUGAGCCCACCCAGUGCCGCAGGGAAGCCGUGAAGCCCGCCGCCUGGGGAGUACGGCCGCAAGGCUGAAACUUAAAGGAAUUGGCGGGGGAGCACCACAAGGGGUGGAGCCUGCGGUUUAAUUGGAGUCAGCGCCGGGAAUCUUACCGAGGGCGACAGCAGGAUGAAGGCCAGGCUAACGACCUUGCCAGACACGCUGAGAGGAGGUGCAUGNCCGUCGCCAGCUCGUGCCGUGAGGCGUCCGGUUAAGUCCGGCAACGAGCGAGAUCCCCACCCCCAGUUGCGAUCCCGAUCCCUGGAUCGGGAGCACACUGGGGGGACUGCCGCCGAUAAGGCGGAGGAAGGAGGGGGCCACGGCAGGUCAGCAUGCCCCGAAUCCCUCGGGCUACACGCGGGCUACAAUGGUGGGGACAGCGGGUGCCGACCCCGAAAGGAGAAGGCAAUCCCUGAAACCCCGCCGUGGUUGGGAUCGAGGGCUGUAACUCGCCCUCGUGAACGUGGAUCCC